rnacentral:rRNA from 1 species
UACGGAGGGAGCAAGCGUUACUCGGAAUUAUUGGGCGUAAAGGGCGCGUAGGCGAUUCGAUAAGUCUCAUGUGAAAUCCCAGGGCCUAACCCUGGAAUGGCAUGGGAUACUGUUGGAUUUGAGUUCCGGAGAGGAAGGCAGAAUUCCCGGUGUAGCGGUGAAAUGCGUAGAUAUCGGGAGGAAUACCAGUGGCGAAGGCGGCCUUCUGGACGGAUACUGACGCUGAGGCGCGAAAGCUAGGGGAGCAAACGGG